CCUACGGGGGGCUGCAGUGAGGAAUAUUGGUCAAUGGCCGAGAGGCUGAACCAGCCAAGUCGCGUGAGGGAAGACGGCCCUACGGGUUGUAAACCUCUUUUGUCGGGGAGCAAAGCGAGUCACGUGUGACUCAUUGAGAGUACCCGAAGAAAAAGCAUCGGCUAACUCCGUGCCAGCAGCCGCGGUAAUACGGAGGAGGCGAGCGUUAUCCGGAUUUUGUGGGGUAAAAGGGUGCGCAGGGGGGGGUGCAAGUUAGCGGUCAAAUUGCGGGGCUCAACCCCGUACUGCCGUUGAAACUGCAACCCUUGAGUACGCGAGAAGUAUGCAGAAUGCGUGGUGUAGCGGUGAAAUGCAUAGAUAUCACGCAGAACUCCGAUUGCGAAGGCAGCAUACCGGCGCGCAACUGACGCUCAUGCACGAAAGCGUGGGUAUCGAACAGGAUUAGAUACCCUUGUAGUC
rnacentral:rRNA from 1 species